GGCGCGGGCCCGGGGCGGGCCAUCAGGCUGUUCAGCGUGGAUCCGGGGAAUGCGUGAGGGGAGAGAAACUCUGAGCUCUCAUUCCAAGGGGCGCGCCCGGUUAUUUCCCCCACUCCCUCAGUCUACCCGGGCUCUCCCCCGCGGAGAUUGGUGUGUGAGCAGGACAGCUGUGAGAAUGUGUUCUAGGACCUGAUUACCUUUCCUUCAUCAUCUCUCAAGCCAUGGGUAUAUUGGGCAAAUCAGAGAUUGGUCAAGUCAUGCCUCCAAGAAGGGCUUGACCAGGGUGGGCUUUGUGGUCCCGCCAAGAAGCUUGGACUUCAUCCUGUUAGGGGGUGGACCAAAGGAGGGGUGUGAGCAGAGGGGCAUCCACAAGGAUGGCUCAUCCUCCACCCACUUCAGUCACCAGUGUUGUACUGCCAUUGGGGAUUCCACAUGCAGCUUUGUAGUUUGUGAGAGGUUCGACACAUGCACCUCUGAGAUACGUUUCAGUGAUGGCAGUCUUAGUGCCUCCGUUGCACACAUGAGGAGAGUAAGUGACCAGCCUAUAAGGUAGACAGGACACUUGCCCUAAGAGAGGCACAGGUAGAAAGACAGAAACAAACAUGUGCCAAGCUCCCUCUCUGUGCUAGGCCCCAGCUUGUGUGAGCUUGCCCAGUCGUCAUGGCCACCACACAAGGGGUGGUCACCCCCACCCCUUUGCACAUAGGGUGCAGGGAAGUGAAGUGACCUGUCCUGGAUCACAUAGGGAGUAAGUAGUAAAGCUGGGAUUCACACCAAGUCUUCUGGGGCCUCAAACCUGUACACUUUUCUUGCCUCCCAAGGCUGGAUGAGGGAGCAUCUGUAACAGCAGAACUAUUGGAUGAAAGCAAAUUCCCAUCCAUUGCCUCCUUUACACUUCCCCCACAGCCCUGGGAGAGACAGGAUUUCGCCAUGUUAGCCAGGAUGGUCUUGAUCUCCUGACCUCAUGAUCUGCCUGCCUCGGCCUCCCAAAGUGCUGGGAUUACAGGUGCGUGCCCCCGCACUGGGCCAAAACCAUUUCUUCAAAUACAGCCUUGAGAGCCCAAGAAGUGACAGGGAUGACAGGCUGCUGGGGUGGUCCCACAGUUCCUCCGGGUCUGUCUUUGACUUGCCCAGCCCACACACCCUAUCUCCAGAGCUCUGUGGAGCACAGUUUGAAACUCCCGCUGCACGGAAUAGCAAGUGCUGGGCUGGGGGAUGCACUGAAGAUGGGCAUUCAGGCGAUGUCCCCUGCACACUGUGGAAAGGCACCCUGGUGGGCUGGGACCUGGUCAGACCCAUCUUCCUGAGCAAGGGCACUGGACAGGCAGGGACAAAGCUGAUUCUGAGCAGACCUGGCACAAGGAAGUCAUCAGAAAACAUUUAUGGGUUCCUCAAGGGUAAAGACUGGAUCUUAUCCAUCUUAUUGCCCAUUCCUACCUCUGCAAUCAUGUGCACUCUGGGAACCGGGAAAAUACAUUGUGGCGUCCAGUAUUAAAUCUCAUGGUACCUAGAA